UGUAUUUAUACUUUCUUUUCUAUGAUACAAAUUAUAUAUUAUUUCUCUAUUCUUGCACAAUUUUUAUCCACACAGGCAGGAUGAUAUUAAUUUAGUUUUUCAUUGUAUAAUACAAAAGCAGUAAGAAGUAUAGCAUACUUUUAUACUUUGCUAUAAUUUGCUUGCAUGGAAUCACAAAGCAAACAGUUACCGACGAGUACAAAUGUACAAGGAAGAAGCAAAAGGGACAAAGUGGGAUGACGAUGGUGGGUUUGGUGGAAUUAACGUGAUCAUUGCUUUAGUUGUUGAUUAAUAGAGAAAUUAGGUCAUGAAUAGAAUUGUAGUAGUGUGAUAUUAAGUGGUCAUUGGAAAUUAGGGAGGUGUUUGGCCGAAUUUAAAAGUCCGACCUCUGAAUUUAUAAAUUAAAUACACUUAUUCGUAUCAUUUGUAUAAUAAGUUAAAAAGUACUUAAAAGUAGUUGUGA
rnacentral:lncRNA from 1 species